rnacentral:rRNA from 1 species
GGCUUACACAUGCCAGUCGAGCGGAUGAAGGUAGCUUGCUACUGGAUUCAGCGGCGGACGGGUGAGUAAUGCUUAGGAAUCUGCCUAUUAGUGGGGGACAACGUUCCGAAAGGAGCGCUAAUACCGCAUACGUCCUACGGGAGAAAGCAGGGGACCUUCGGGCCUUGCGCUAAUAGAUGAGCCUAAGUCGGAUUAGCUAGUUGGUAGGGUAAAGGCCUACCAAGGCGACGAUCUGUAGCGGGUCUGAGAGGAUGAUCCGCCACACUGGGACUGAGACACGGCCCAGACUCCUACGGGAGGCAGCAGUGGGGAAUAUUGGACAAUGGGGGGAACCCUGAUCCAGCCAUGCCGCGUGUGUGAAGAAGGCCUUUUGGUUGUAAAGCACUUUAAGCGAGGAGGAGGCUACCUAGAUUAAUACUUUAGGAUAGUGGACGUUACUCGCAGAAUAAGCACCGGCUAACUCUGUGCCAGCAGCCGCGGUAAUACAGAGGGUGCGAGCGUUAAUCGGAUUUACUGGGCGUAAAGCGUGCGUAGGCGGCCAAUUAAGUCAAAUGUGAAAUCCCCGAGCUUAACUUGGGAAUUGCAUUCGAUACUGGUUGGCUAGAGUAUGGGAGAGGAUGGUAGAAUUCCAGGUGUAGCGGUGAAAUGCGUAGAGAUCUGGAGGAAUACCGAUGGCGAAGGCAGCCAUCUGGCCUAAUACUGACGCUGAGGUACGAAAGCAUGGGGAGCAAACAGGAUUAGAUA